ensembl:bidirectional_promoter_lncRNA 9530062K07Rik RIKEN cDNA 9530062K07 gene
GAGAGGGAGCUAUGGGUUAGUAGCUCCUGGGUAAUUGGGUUUGACCAGAGAGAAGGUGUUUAAGCGGCCAGCUCUAAGAGUGCAAAAGAGGCGGGAGAUUAUUUUUCCAACUUUCAGGUUUUGCUUUGUGGCCACCUCUGUUGAAAUCUCAUUAAAGAUUUCUCUUUGGUAUGCAACUAAGACAAAUAAAUGAAAACCUGCUCAGAUGGGGAUACUGAAAGCCAGAGAAGAUAUGGGGUUUGCAGUGGAUUGCAGCCUGUGUUGUCUGGGGCCUGAUUUCAGUGACCCUAACCUUGCUCACAGAGGCCGGAGGUGGACACCAGAUCCCUCAGAAUGGGAGUUACAGAUGGUUAUGAGCCACCAAGUGCAUGCAUGGAACUGUACCUGGUUAAACGAAGCAGGAGUUUCUGAACAUCUGAGCCAUCUCUCCAGCCCUAGAUAUUCAUGCUUCUCAUGGAACUCUAUGACAACAAUCCCCAUUUCUUCAUCUUUCCUGCCCCUUAGGUACUCUGAUUACUGUGCUACAUUACAAGAGCAACAGUUUAUAAAACAGGGACCACUCCUUUAGAUUUUGCAUAUAUUGUUUUGUGUUAGUGACUGCAGGUCGACUGAGCAAGUUUUGGUUUUGUGUUUGAUUGGUUGUUUCAUUUUUCUAGGUAGGGUUUCUUUGUGUAGUUCCGGCUGUUUUGGUAUUUGCAGUGUAGAUUUGUUUUGGUAUUUCCAGGCUGGCCUCAAACUCAGAGAUCCACUUGCCUCUGUCUCCCGAGUGCUGGAAUUAAAGGUGUGCACCAUCACC